rnacentral:rRNA from 1 species
UAACGCGUGAGUAACCUGCCUUUCAGAGGGGGAUAACGUUCUGAAAAGAACGCUAAUACCGCAUAACGUACAGUUACCGCAUGGUAGCAGUACCAAAGGAGCAAUCCGCUGAAAGAUGGACUCGCGUCCGAUUAGCUAGUUGGUGGGGUAAAGGCCUACCAAGGCGACGAUCGGUAGCCGGACUGAGAGGUUGAACGGCCACAUUGGGACUGAGACACGGCCCAGACUCCUACGGGAGGCAGCAGUGGGGGAUAUUGCACAAUGGGGGAAACCCUGAUGCAGCAACGCCGCGUGUGGGAAGAAGGUUUUCGGAUUGUAAACCACUGUUCUUGGUGAAGAUAAUGACGGUAACCAAGGAGAAAGCUCCGGCUAACUACGUGCCAGCAGCCGCGGUAAUACGUAGGGAGCAAGCGUUGUCCGGAUUUACUGGGUGUAAAGGGUGCGUAGGCGGCUAGGCAAGUCAGACGUGAAAACCAUGGGCUCAACCUGUGGACUGCGUUUGAAACUGUUUAGCUUGAGUGAAGUAGAGGUAGGCGGAAUUCCCGGUGUAGCGGUGAAAUGCGUAGAGAUCGGGAGGAACACCAGUGGCGAAGGCGGCCUACUGGGCUUUAACUGACGCUGAGGCACGAAAGCAUGGGUAGCAAACAGGAUUAGAUACCCUGGUAGUCCAUGCCGUAAACGAUGAUUACUAGGUGU